CUUAGUGAGGUCUCCGGAUUGGCUUUGGGGAGCCGGCGACGGCACCCUAUCGCUGAGAAGCUGAUCAAACUUGGUCAUUUAGAGGAAGUAAAAGUCGUAACAAGGUUUCCGUAGGUGAACCUGCGGAAGGAUCAUUAUCGAAAUUAUAGGCGAGGGUUGUAGCUGGCCUCUCGGGGCACGUGCACGCCCGAGCCCUUAAUCCACACACACCUGUGAACCUAUUGUAAGGGCCCGUGAAAAAGGCCUUUACGUUUUAUCAUCAACCCACUGUAUGUCUCAUAGAAUGUAAAUCUAUAUCCUCGCCCUAAAAAGCGUUGAUAAAACUUAUACAACUUUCAACAACGGAUCUCUUGGCUCUCGCAUCGAUGAAGAACGCAGCGAAAUGCGAUAAGUAAUGUGAAUUGCAGAUUUUCAGUGAAUCAUCGAAUCUUUGAACGCACCUUGCGCUCCUUGGUAUUCCGAGGAGCAUGCCUGUUUGAGUGUCAUUAAAUUCUCAACUCCGAUCGAUUUGUUUCGACUUCGGAGCUUGGAUUUGGAGCGUGCUGGCGUCGGUCGGCUCCUCUUAAACGCAUCAGCGGAAUCUAACGUUUUGGAUGUCAGUGUGAUAAUCAUGUUGCGCUGUCCUCCGAUCCGAAAGCCCGCUCACAAUGGUCUUCGGACGACUUCAUAUCAAAUUUGACCUCAAAUCAGGUAGGACUACCCGCUGAACUUAAGCAUAUCAAUAAGCGGAGGAAAAGAAACUAACAAGGAUUCCCCUAGUAACUGCGAGUGAAGCGGGAAAAGCUCAAAUUUAAAAUCUGGCGGUCUCGCGGCCGUCCGAGUUGUAAUCUGGAGAAGCGNUUAUCCGCGUCGGACCGUGUACAAGUCUUCUGGAAGGGAGCGUCGUAGAGGGUGAGA
rnacentral:rRNA from 1 species